rnacentral:rRNA from 1 species
UCCUGGCUACAGGACGAACGCUGGCGGCGUGCUUAACACAUGCAAGUCGUACGAGACGAUUGAAAGCUUGCUUUUGAGAGUCGAGUGGCAAACGGGUGAGUAACGCGUAGACAACCUGCCGUAAAGAUGGGGACAACAGUUCGAAAGGACUGCUAAUACCGAAUGUUGUAGAGUUUCCGCAUGGGGAUCCUACUAAAGGUGGCCUCUACUUGUAAGCUAUCGCUUUACGAUGGGUCUGCGUCUGAUUAGCUAGUUGGUGGGGUAACGGCCUACCAAGGCGACGAUCAGUAGCCGGUCUGAGAGGAUGAACGGCCACAUUGGGACUGAGACACGGCCCAGACUCCUACGGGAGGCAGCAGUGGGGAAUCUUCCGCAAUGGACGAAAGUCUGACGGAGCAACGCCGCGUGAACGAUGACGGCCUUCGGGUUGUAAAGUUCUGUUAUACGGGACGAAUGGCGUAGCGGUCAAUACCCGUUACGAGUGACGGUACCGUAAGAGAAAGCCACGGCUAACUACGUG